CCAAUACAUUAUUUUUUUUUUCUACUGCACAGCAUGGUGACCCAACUAUAACAUACAUGUAUACAUUCUUUUUUCUCACAUUAUCAUGCUCCAUCGUAAGUGACUAGACAUGGUUCCCAGUGCUACACAGCAGGAUCUCAUUGCUAAUCCAUUCCAAAGGCAGAAAUGGAAUAAACUGCUCAAUUCCCCAGUCCCUUUUAUGCUGGGGCCCUUACUCAGUCACCCAGCCCCCUCUAUCCCCAAGACCUGGAAAAUGAGUAAUUCCCCACGAUGAUCAGGAAUUCAAAAGUAAAUCAAGAUAGGAAACAAACCUCGAAUCUUUUUCAAAGCAAAAGCUUAGAGAGGAGAGACUCAAGAUCCAGGGAAAAAGGAAAAAAAGUGCAGGCUUUGGACUAUACCAUUUCAAAUUAAAUCCACGCUUUGUGACUUAUUACCCAUUUGAGCUUUGGCAUAUUAUAUAAUCUCUGUGUCUCAGUUUUCUACGUUUAAAAUUGUGAUAAAAUAACAACCAUACAUGUAGCUAUUUUGAGGAUUAGUGAUGAUUUAAAAUAAUGACUUAGCAUAGUGUCUUAAGUAAAUGGAAGAUGGUUUUGUCAAUGUGAAGGAGGUCAGUCUAGCUAGAACUGAAAGUUCAUGCCAAGAUGUUGUCUGGAACCAGACUGAGGGGAGGUUAUACUUCAGAGUGAGGUAGAGUGAAAUUUGCAAGUCCUCAUUUUGAUACUAGCAUCAUAAUCUAAUUUAAUGACUGCCCCGUUAUAUAAGUUUGUGGGAAUAAAUGGACAUUCUCUUGAACUAUUUAGUCCAUGAUAAUGCACAACACUGUUGCCACAACUUACUGUCUUAUCACCAAAGCAGACUCUACCACCUGGUCCUUGGACUUUCCCCUGUGAAAUGGAGCAUAUUCUCAGAAUUCUUUUCAAUUAUGUAAAUAGUUUCUUAUAGCCUCUAGCCCACAAAGCCUCUAGUGGUAUUGGCAUACUCAGCUUUUUCAUUUUCAAGUUUCCACAGUCAGAAAAAGUCAUUUGCAGACAUUCACCCAUGCAUGCACCUUCCUGCUCCUAGGAAUGACAGUCAUGAUGAACAGACAACUCUGGUCAAAUCCACACAGCAGUGGUGAGAAGCAUCUGUGGUUGGCAGCACACAUUCAAAUACUAGAAUUUCUGUUGUCUCACUUGAAGGCACACAAGGACUCAAAACAGCACUAAACAAGUCAGUAACAAUUACAACAUAAUCACUACCCUGGUAUAAUGAUGCCUCACAGAUUCUGUCUAUAAAAGCAUCCACAGUUAUUACCACCACUCACUCGGUCACCCUUUGGCACUGCUUUGCCAUUUGAGGAGAAUGUUACAGCUCUGUAGAACUUUCUUACAAUCUUGAGACGAAGUACUCCAGUGCUUUAGUAAAAAUGCCCAAUCAUUAUUUUUUUUUCUGGUCUGGGCUUCUACUGCACCUCUUCCCCCUUAUUGGUAGCAAGAGAUGAGCACUGCAUAAUGCUCUCAGUUUGGAGCUCCAUCAGACAAGCAUCAUCUUCAUGAUUUGUCCCUGCAGGUAUAUGUAGCCCAAGGGAAUUAGAAAUUAACAUGUGGUGAUUUCACCUUGGAUAGGCUUGUGGUAUACCACUGUGCUGUGGGGUACCAUUUUUAUAGAAAAACAAAAGCUCCCUCUGUCAGAUAUGGCUGGGGUGGUUAAGAGAGACCAGUGCUUUGGAGAGAGUGUUUGGAACCUAGCAAACAAGAUUAAGGCCUCAAGGAAAUUAUCAGAAAAGCUGUUGUCAUAUGGAAUUGAAGGGAAAUUCUCCCUUUCCUCAGGAUUAAUAAAAGGUGGAGACACUUUACAAAUAGUUACAUAAUUAUACCCAUCAAGAAACAUAGUCCCAACAAAUGGUUUUCGCUGGGAAAGGGAAUAUACUAUAAUAAAAAUGAAAUAACUCUCUGGAAGAUAUAAAAUGGGGUGGGAAGUCUUUAACCCUAUUCUUUCUAAGUACCACUAACCCUUUUCUCUCAUCAACUUCUUCAGUUCCAACCCCUCUACCUCUUUCCUAGGAAACAUCUCCCUUUCUCAUUCUGUUAAUAUGGCACACACCUCCUCUCUUAUGUCACAAGAGUUAGCAACCAAUAAGACUAAUCCUCUUAAUCAUUCCACUGAUGUUCACCCAGCCUCUAUUAUCAUUGGAAUGCUCUUCAUCUUUGCAAACUCUGUAUAUACUUUAUAGAUGCUACAUAAGUGAUGUCUUGUGAUGGGUGACCUGUUGUUUAAUCCUUUGCUUUGAGUUUAGAGAGUCUCUUUAGCUAUAUACAUUUCUCCCUUGUGAUCUGGUAAUUUUCACAUGUGCAUGGCAUUUCUAUUCCCGUCUUGCCUUCUUGCCCCCCCACUUUUUUUUUUAAGGGCCGCACUCCUGGCAUAUGUAAGUUCCCAGGCUAGGGGUCAAAUCAGAGCUACAACUGCCAGCUUUUGUCACAGCUACAGCAACAUGAGAUCCGAGCUGCGUCUGCAACCUACACUGCAACUCACAGCAAUGCCAGAUCCCCAAAUCACUGAGCAAGGCCCCCAUUCUCAUACUAGUCAGAUUCGUUUCUACUUAGCAGCAGGAACUCCCGCUUCUUGCUCUCUUAAAUUCUCUUUUUUCUUUACUAAUUUAUAUCUGUUUAAAGUUUCUUCUUUAAUUAUCAUCACACAACCUUCUAAUAUUUUUAAGAUUUUCAUUGUCAUCACAACUUCUCUGUAGUACAUCAUAUACCAGGAGCUUUGAAGGACUUGCCUUAGAAGAUAAGUAUCUCAUUCUUGAUUCUGUAGGAUCUCACCUGGUGUGAACAGGCUACCUGGAUCUCUGUACAUCAAUUCUGAACGGAGUCCUGAAUUUAAUUAUCUUCCUAUGUCUUCUCAACAUACUCUUCAUGGAAUACCUGCCUGCCUGAUGAGUUUUCAUUGUGUCCUCAGUUUUUUUUGACCCAUUAUCAUGUAAAUAACCGACACCUAGUCCUACCCCUCAUACUUGCAGUCUCUUGAAAAUCAUUCAGAAAAAAACAAAGCUAUUAUGGUUGUUGGAAUUUUUUUAAAUUUUAUUCUUUUUCAUGCCAUUAUGACUGUGACAUCAUGAGGCAAGUCUCCAGACAACUUGUAGCUUGGUCCAAAAAUAUAUUUUGACUAAGCCUUAUAUACAUAAUAAAGCCCUUCUUCCAUACAGCCCCCUCUCCCUGACCUUUCACCUCACCACCAUUACCAAAACAACCUCCAUCUGUUGUUGUCCAGAGAUGUUACAACAAAGUUAUAACAUCUGUGAAAAGUUACCAGAAGGUGAUAAUUUUUAAAAGAGCUCAUCAAUGCAAUCUUGGAUUUUCUUUUACCUUGGAGACUUUAUGUUACCACAUGCAACCUCGACCUUUAAAUUCCAAUGUUUUCUAGAUUUUCAGGACCUCUAGGGUAUUUUAGGUCUCCUCCUAUAUCGAACAUCAGUCAUCAGCCAACUAUGAGAGUUGUCUAACGCCAUGCAUUCGAGAGAAAGUCAAUAGGAGAUUUAGUGUCUUACUAAGUUCACACUGCAAAAAAAUGAAUGUGGGCUAAAAGAGGUUAUAGGAGAACUUCAUGCUGAAAAGGAGAGUUUGAGAAAUGUUAGGCAGAAAGUUAUUCUAAUUCUCAUGCACUUAACGCAGCAUACUCAGAGAACACUUUCAAUUCAUUAGGGAAUUCCUUAAGAAAAUCAGUUUCUAGCACCUGAGUCUUCCACUG
rnacentral:lncRNA from 1 species